rnacentral:rRNA from 1 species
UACGUAUGGUGCGAACGUUGUUCGGAAUCACUGGGCCUAAAGAGCACGUAGGCGGUUAAGCAAGUCCAUUGUGAAAUCCCCCGGCCUAACCGGGGAACUGCAUUGGAUACUACUUGACUUGAGUGCAGGAGGGGAGAGUGGAAUUCCAGGUGGAGCGGUGAAAUGCGUAGAUAUCUGGAGGAACGCCGGCGGCGAAAGCGACUCUCUGGUCUGUAACUGACGCUGAGGUGCGAAAGCUAGGGGAGCAAACGGG